GGUUAAGAUCAUGAAAGUUGUUAGGGUAAUAACAAAGUUGGUUUUCUGUAGCAUUGCUCCACUGAUAUUGGCCUGUUAGUUUGUUAAAGGUUUCAGUGAGUAUAGAAUUAGUUAGCAUGGUUUUAGGUAGUUAUGAACUUGUUGUGUAUAUGAACUCUCAGUAGGAAUUUCUUUUGAAUGGUAUGGCAUUGUAUUGUUGUGGCUUUAUGAAGGAUUGGCUUGGAACUGUUUUGAAUGAAAAUACAAGCGUGAUAUGGCUUAUGUGUACUGGUAUAUACAGGUGAUAGGAGGAGCAAAACUUCCUGUUGAACCAUGGUUGGCUUGGUGCAAUGCGUAAGCUAAUACCAUAGCAAAGAUGAAGUGGAGUUGACUUGAAGGAUCAGAGAGAGAAGUUUAGGAUCAGUUUGAAUUCGGUCAACUAUUUGACUAGAAAGUCAACAGUUGACUUUUAGUCAACUAUAGGUCAAAUGUACAAUUUUGAUGUGGUUUUCAAUGUACUUUGCUUUUGUAAUGCUUUUGCCUUGUCUUUGUAUGUUAACUUCUUCAAAAUUGUGGACAAUAUUCAAUGUUCUCUCC